rnacentral:rRNA from 1 species
AACGGAGCUUAGAGAGCUUGCUUUUUAAGCUUAGUGGCGAACGGGUGAGUAACGCGUGAGUAACCUGCCCUAGAGUGGGGGACAACAGUUGGAAACGACUGCUAAUACCGCAUAAGCCCACGGUGCCGCAUGGCACUGCGGGAAAAGGAUUUAUUCGCUUCAGGAUGGACUCGCGUCCAAUUAGCUAGUUGGUGAGGUAACGGCCCACCAAGGCGACGAUCAGUAGCCGGCCUGAGAGGGUGAACGGCCACAUUGGGACUGAGACACGGCCCAAACUCC